rnacentral:snoRNA from 1 species
GACCUGGUGAGAUUCCCUUCUCUGCAACUGGCUUACUGGGUGACCUUGGUCAAGUCAUGUUUCCUAUCUGUGCCUCAGUUUCUCAUGUAUAGAAUGAGAAUAAUGAUACUACUCUCCUUGGUAAAGCACCU